ensembl:snRNA U6 U6 spliceosomal RNA
GUGCUUGCUUCAGCAGCACAUAUGCUAAAAUUGGCACAACACAGAGAAGAUUAGAAUGAUUAGCAUGGCCCCUGUGCAAGGAUGACACACAAAUUCGUGAAGAAUUCCAUAUUUUU